GGGGGUAUAGCUCAGUUGGUAGAGCGCCUGCUUUGCACGCAGGAAGUCAGCGGUUCGAAUCUGCUUACCUCCA
rnacentral:tRNA from 1 species